UGUUGGUCAGGCUGGUCUUGAACUCCCGACCUGAGGUGAUCCACCUGCCUCGGUCUCCCAAAGUGCUGGGAUUACAGGAGUGAGCCACACCGCGCCCGGCCUGUGCUGCUCUUAUUAAGCAACUGCCUCAUAUGAGGCUCUAAAUAGCUUCUUUUAGUGUUUGAAACCUCAUAAACUGUAGUCAUGGCAACUGGUGUCUGAUCUAGGUGGGAGCCAGCUUCUAAGGUAACUGGACAUCCAGCAGAUCACUCCACAGCUUUGCUCCCAGCCUGUCCACCUCACCCUCGGUCAACUUCCCCUGAGCCUGCUGCUGUCUCCUGAGCCCCCUGAGAUCCAGAUAGAUACCCACUGGGAGGAAGCAGGAUGGAGACAUGGGAUCAGGCGUUGCUUUCUUGCAGCCUGUAGUCCCGGAUUCAAUUCAUUAUGGAACAUGAGCCCCGCACUUCUGAGUUUCUCAUCCGCUAGCUGGUAAAUGUGACCAGGCAGGACAGCACUGGCACAAACCAGUGCAGUGAAAAAGAGAGGAAGUGAUUCCAAGGCAAGGCGAGACUCCCAGACAAAGGAUGGAGAUGAGAGUGCUUUUAUCAGGUGCUUUGUCACCAGUCCACUGUUUGAAUCUCUACCUUUCUGUCCUAGUUCAGAACUGCCAGACACACUGGAAGGUCUCCGGUGUUCAGUUACUGGCUGCUUUGUUUAACAGUUAAUUCCAACAGCCAAUCAGACAAUUCUAGACACUUUUAGUAUCUCCUGGAGCUUUGGCCCUACUCCAAUGACUGCUAAAAAUGACAAACACACCCAUGGUUCCACUUCCCCAAAGGCCAAAAAAAUACGAAUUGGAUUUCAGUUUUUGUGAUACAGAGUAAUCCAAAGUCUUUAGGGAACAACAAAAGCAGCUCAAAUUAUAGCUCAUUGUGACAUGAAAAAAGAGAAAAAGAAAAAUGGUACAGAGAAGUGCUAGUAAGAGGAAACCAGCAGUCAUGACAGCUCUGCCCCAGUUCCCUUCUUCAAACGUGAGCUUCAGUGUAGGGCUGGCGCUCCACCCUGACUCCCUAGGCUCUACUUUUCCUUUGGUGAUGGCUUCUGCACUAAAUGGCUGAUCGCAGUUAAGGUGAAAGCUCCUGUCAUUGCUUCAGUCCCUUCCAACUUGGUUAAGUUCAGAGAUAACAGGUCUAAGGAAUUUACAAAAGGGAACAUUAAUUUGUGCAAGAAUAUUUUAAACAUCUAUUGAGUAUCAGGCAUGGGCUUCAGAGAGCCUGAAGAGUCUGUAGCAUAAAAGAGAAAUGAAGACAAGCACAAACAGGAUUCAUGUGAUAGCUGAGGAUGGAUAACAUACUGUAGAGCAGUGGCUCUCAAACUUUCUAUGCCCCUCAUCCUCCUGGAGAGCUUGCUGUCAGGAUUUGAAACCUAUGUGCUACUGAGUGGCGUUCUUCAUGACUGGAUCUGGUCAGCACAUCCCUCCUCCAGCUUCCAAAUUCAACUCAAACCAAGACAGACUAUCUGCAGGGAUGGCAUGUUCAACUCUGCAACAAGGCCUGUGGCUGGAGCAAACAAGAUAAUAGCCUACAGUCCCAGCUACUUGGGAGGCUGAAGUGGGAGGAUUGCUUGAGCCCAGAAGCUGUCUCCAGCCUGUGCAACAUAGGGAGACCUCAUCUCUAAAAAACAAAAUAGGCUGGGCAUGGUGGUUCGUGCCUGUAAUCCCAGC